GCAGGGUGAGUCGACCCCUAAGGCGAGGCCGAAAGGCGUAGUCGAUGGGAAACAGGUUAAUAUUCCUGUACUUGGUGUUACUGCGAAGGGGGGACGGAGAAGGCUAUGUUGGCCGGGCGACGGUUGUCCCGGUUUAAGCGUGUAGGCUGGUUUUCCAGGCAAAUCCGGAAAAUCAAGGCUGAGGCGUGAUGACGAGGCACUACGGUGCUGAAGCAACAAAUGCCCUGCUUCCAGGAAAAGCCUCUAAGCAUCAGGUAACAUCAAAUCGUACCCCAAACCGACACAGGUGGUCAGGUAGAGAAUACCAAGGCGCUUGAGAGAACUCGGGUGAAGGAACUAGGCAAAAUGGUGCCGUAACUUCGGGAGAAGGCACGC
rnacentral:rRNA from 1 species